rnacentral:rRNA from 2 species
GGGUUGUGAGGUUAAGCGACUAAGCGUACACGGUGGAUGCCCUGGCAGUCAGAGGCGAUGAAGGACGUGCUAAUCUGCGAAAAGCGUCGGUAAGGUGAUAUGAACCGUUAUAACCGGCGAUGUCCGAAUGGGGAAACCCAGUGCAAUUCGUUGCACUAUCGUUAACUGAAUACAUAGGUUAACGAGGCGAACCGGGGGAACUGAAACAUCUAAGUACCCCGAGGAAAAGAAAUCAACCGAGAUUCCCCCAGUAGCGGCGAGCGAACGGGGAGCAGCCCAGAGUCUGAAUCAGCUUGUGUGUUAGUGGAACGGUCUGGAAAGUCCGACGGUACAGGGUGAUAGUCCCGUACACCAAAAUGCACAGGUUGUGAACUCGAAGAGUAGGGCGGGACACGUGGUAUCCUGUCUGAAUAUGGGGGGACCAUCCUCCAAGGCUAAAUACUCCUGACUGACCGAUAGUGAACCAGUACCGUGAGGGAAAGGCGAAAAGAACCCCGGCGAGGGGAGUGAAAAAGAACCUGAAACCGUGUACGUACAAGCAGUGGGAGCACCUUCGGGUGUGACUGCGUACCUUUUGUAUAAUGGGUCAGCGACUUAUAUUCUGUAGCAAGGUUAACCGUAUAGGGGAGCCGCAGGGAAACCGAGUCUUAACUGGGCGUUAAGUUGCAGGGUAUAGACCCGAAACCCGGUGAUCUAGCCAUGGGCAGGUUGAAGGUUGGGUAACACUAACUGGAGGACCGAACCGACUAAUGUUGAAAAAUUAGCGGAUGACUUGUGGCUGGGGGUGAAAGGCCAAUCAAACCGGGAGAUAGCUGGUUCUCCCCGAAAGCUAUUUAGGUAGCGCCUCGUGAACUCAUCUUCGGGGGUAGAGCACUGUUUCGGCUAGGGGGUCAUCCCGACUUACCAACCCGAUGCAAACUACGAAUACCGAAGAAUGUUAUCACGGGAGACACACGGCGGGUGCUAACGUCCGUCGUGAAGAGGGAAACAACCCAGACCGCCAGCUAAGGUCCCAAAGUCAUGGUUAAGUGGGAAACGAUGUGGGAAGGCACAGACAGCCAGGAUGUUGGCUUAGAAGCAGCCAUCAUUUAAAGAAAGCGUAAUAGCUCACUGGUCGAGUCGGCCUGCGCGGAAGAUGUAACGGGGCUAAACCAUGCACCGAAGCUGCGGCAGCGACACUAUGUGUUGUUGGGUAGGGGAGCGUUCUGUAAGCCUGCGAAGGUGACCUGUGAGGGUUGCUGGAGGUAUCAGAAGUGCGAAUGCUGACAUAAGUAACGAUAAAGCGGGUGAAAAGCCCGCUCGCCGGAAGACCAAGGGUUCCUGUCCAACGUUAAUCGGGGCAGGGUGAGUCGACCCCUAAGGCGAGGCCGAAAGGCGUAGUCGAUGGGAAACAGGUUAAUAUUCCUGUACUUGGUGUUACUGCGAAGGGGGGACGGAGAAGGCUAUGUUAGCCGGGCGACGGUUGUCCCGGUUUAAGCAUGUAGGCUG